UACGUAGGGGGCAAGCGUUAAUCGGAAUUACUGGGCGUAAAGCGUGCGCAGGCGGUUAUGUAAGACAGAUGUGAAAUCCCCGGGCUCAACCUGGGAACUGCAUUUGUGACUGCAUAGCUAGAGUACGGUAGAGGGGGAUGGAAUUCCGCGUGUAGCAGUGAAAUGCGUAGAUAUGCGGAGGAACACCGAUGGCGAAGGCAAUCCCCUGGACCUGUACUGACGCUCAUGCACGAAAGCGUGGGGAGCAAACAGG
rnacentral:rRNA from 1 species